CUGGAAGUAAACCUGAGGAGGGCUGGGCCGCGGGGGUGUUUUCGGUGAUCUGCUUCCCGCCAAAGCUCGGCCCUCUUCCGCUUGGGGGACCGGGGAGGGGGGCGCUGCAACUUGUGGCGUCCGCAGUCCACCGCUUGUGGUCCCGGUGGUUCCGCAGGUGGAUCGUCUCGUACGACUCUGGAAGGUUCCCGGCCACCGCUCUAAGCCCCAAGGCGAAUGAUUGGGUUAUAGUUCGAUAUAAUUCAUAGAUUAAAAACUCGGGAGUGUCACGGCUGCUGUCCUAGUAGCCCGAGCUUCCUGCGGGGCGGAGCAGAAGGAGUAGCACUCAGUACCCAUGUCUGGUCGGUUUGUAGUAAUAGAGGCCUCACCGCAGGUGAUGAAGUCACCGGACCUUUCUGUCGGCCCACAGAGUUGUUUGCCCUUUAAUUUAAAUAGCAAGCACCGUCAUUUAAUAGCCGGAGUGUCCAUAUUUGGACUGCAAAAAUCCUAAAAGUUUCGUACUUUUUCAGGUUUUUCCAGCCGAGAUGCGAUAACCAUAGUUUUAACAAAGUGACAGUAUGGGCGAUUGAGAGCAGCAAGUUGAAAGAAUAAGGCAAGGGGCCAGACCAUCCCUGGAAACUGUUUGCUAAGAUUUUUUAAAAUGUUUACUUAGACAGAAUUUGGAUAACACUAAGGUGUAAUUCUAUUUCAGCAUCUUAAUUACAUUACAUACAGAUUUUUGCUACUAUGAUGUGAUGAACUCUUAAAAUGGUUAGGAGAAAUUUAUGGAAAUUAUAGUUUACUUCCAGUCUGUAGCAAGCUAUCUGUAUCCAGCACUUUUCUGUGUAUAGUGCACCUAGUUGUGAUAGGUUCUUUAGCUCAAUUAUGGAAAGCUAACCUUUCCUCAACCCUAUCAUAUGGCAGGAAAAAAACCCUGUAUGGCUGUAGAUGGAAACUGAAAAAGAAUUUGCACAAAUUCUGCUGUGGGAAUGGAUUUUUGCUGUUGCUUCUGCCGCUAGAAUUGAGGAUUGGAGAAACGAAGAAUUAACCAAACCAAAUUAAGAUUAUAUGUGGAGGCGUAAUCAAUUGUUAUGUAAUCUGAAUCAAUUAUGUUAAUUUGGAGAGAUGUGGCCACAAUCUAGACUAUUCAGGCUUUGGACAGCAUACUAUUUCAAACCACGGUUUGCUGGCCCAAGAAACAUGAAAUAAAGCAUGAGAUCAAGCUUUGACCCACCAUCACACCAUAGAAGGACAUGCUCUUCAGGUUGGCUGACCUAAGGCAUGCUCUACUAUUAAUCUGUCCACAAUCCACUCGAGCAUUUUUUCUUUUUCAGUUCCAGUGCAGUUGAUAGUACAUAUUUAUUGACUGCUUAAUUUGGAGAGCUAAAUAUAUACAAGCAAGAACCUAACUACUUCAUUCAUUGUUGUUAUAAUGAAAUAUCUGACAAUUUCUGAUUUGUACAAGGAACUAAAAGACUUCAGAUAUCUGAUUUUGUCUCAGUAAUAAAGAUAUUCUGAUCCUUUUGA